UUGUUUCAGCAGCAAAUUUACUAAAACCAGUAUGAUACAGAGAAGAUUAGCCUGGCCCUGUGCAAAGAUGGCAAGCAAAUUGAGAAAGUGUUCCAUAUUUUU